rnacentral:rRNA from 1 species
CGAGGUAUGCCUAGUAGGCACGAGUCAUCAGCUCGUGCCGAUUACGUCCCUGCCCUUUGUACACACCGCCCGUCGCUACUACCGAUUGAAUGGCUCGGUGAGGCCUUCGGACUGGCUCAGGAGGGUUGGCAACGACCCCCCAGAGCCGGAAAGUUGGUCAAACCCGGUCAUUUAGAGGAAGUAGAGGUGGUAGCAAGGUUUCCGGAGGUGAACCUGCGGAAGGAUCAUUA